UGAGGAAGUAAAAGUCGUAACAAGGUCUCCGUUGGUGAACCAGCGGAGGGAUCAUUACAGAGUUCUAAAAAGACUCCCAAAACCAUUGUGAACGUACCCGUCAGCGUUGCCUCGGCGGGCGGCCCCUCCCUGGGGCCGCUGCCUCCCUCGCGGGGGGUGCCCGCCGGCGUACGAAAACUCUUUUGUAUUUUAGUGGCCUCUCUGAGAAAACAAGCAAAUAAGUUAAAACUUUCAACAACGGAUCUCUUGGUUCUGGCAUCGAUGAAGAACGCAGCGAAAUGCGAUAAGUAAUGUGAAUUGCAGAAUUCAGUGAAUCAUCGAAUCUUUGAACGCACAUUGCGCCCGCUAGUACUCUAGCGGGCAUGCCUGUUCGAGCGUCAUUUCAACCCUCAAGCCCUGCUUGGUGUUGGGGUCCUACGGCUGCCGUAGGCCCUGAAAACUAGUGGCGGGCUCGCUAUAACUCCGAGCGUAGUAGUAAAAUAUCUCGCUAGGGAGGUGUCGCGGGUUCCGGCCGUGAAAGCCCCAUCUUUUACACAAGGUUGACCUCGGAUCAGGUAGGAAUACCCGCUGAACUUAAGC
rnacentral:rRNA from 2 species